rnacentral:rRNA from 1 species
UUCCGGUUGAUCCUGCCGGAGGCUACCGCUAUUGGAGUUCGAUCAAGCCAUGCGAGUCGCGAGAAAUUAGAUUCUCGGCGUACCGCUCAGUAACACGUGGGUAACCUGCCCUAUGCUGGAUAAUAACCUCGGGAAACUGAGAAUAAUGAUCCAUAGUUCACUACGCCUGGAACGGUGAGUGGAUGAAAGCUCCGGCGGCAUAGGAUGGGCCUGCGGCGUAUCAGGUUGUAGGGGGUGUAACGUACCCUCUAGCCCUCUACGCGUACGGGUGUUGGGAGACAUAGCCCGGAGAUGGAUUCUGAGACACGAAUCCAGACCCUACGGGGUGCAGCAGGCGCGAAAACUUGGCAAUGCGAGAAAUCGUGACCANGGAACUCCAAGUGCAUCGGGUAAGACCGGUGCUUUUCUUGACUCUAAAUAGGUCUUGGAAUAAGGGGUGGGUAAGGACGGUGCCAGCCGCCGCGGUAAUACCGGCGCCUCAAGUGGUAGUCGCUUUUAUUGGGCCUAAAACGUCCGUAGCCGGUCUGAUACAUUCGUGGGUAAAUCAACCAGCUCAACUGGUUGAAUUCUGCGAGGACGGUCAGACUUGGGACCGGGAGAGGUGUGGGGUACGCUCAGGAUAGGGG